UACGUAGGGUGCAAGCGUUAAUCGGAAUUACUGGGCGUAAAACGUGCGCAGGCGGUUUUGUAAGUCUGACGUGAAAUCCCCGGGCUUAACCUGGGAAUUGCGUUGGAGACUGCAAGGCUGGAGUCUGGCAGAGGGGGGUAGAAUUCCACGUGUAGCAGUGAAAUGCGUAGAGAUGUGGAGGAACACCGAUGGCGAAGGCAGCCCCCUGGGUCAAGACUGACGCUCAUGCACGAAAGCGUGGGGAGCAAACAGG
rnacentral:rRNA from 1 species